rnacentral:lncRNA from 1 species
CAGGGAGAAAGGGUGCUUUUAGAACCGAGCUGUUCAGGGUCCCAGAUCCUCUAAUGUAAUGCCAGCUGAACCCAGACAGUGACUUCCACCUCCAUGAAUGCAGGUGAUUGCAUCCUUUGAAAGCCUGUUUGCAUAGCAGACAAUGAAGCUGAGCAGAGAAAAACAAGAUGAGAGACAGAUGGAGUAGGAGACCUGAGAAGAUGGCUUGAGUCCAUGAAUUCUGGUGUUCCCUAGGCCACAUUUGCCCCCAUCCUUCCCAGUGGACGCUUGAAGAAGCAUCUUGUGAUCUCCUGGCUGGUACCCUGAAGUCCUGUUAUGCCAAUGGACCAGCAACCCUCGCAGGUA